rnacentral:rRNA from 1 species
AAUUUUGCGCAAUGGGCUAACGCCUGACGCAGCAACGCCGCGUGGAGGAUGAAGGUCCUUGGAUUGUAAACUCCUGUCAGCAGGGAAAAAGCGAUAAGGCCUAAUACGUCUUAGAGUUGAUUGUACCUGCAGAGGAAGCCCCGGCUAACUCUGUGCCAGCAGCCGCGGUAAUACAGAGGGGGCAAGCGUUAUUCGGAAUUAUUGGGCGUAAAGGGCGCGUAGGCGGCUUUUCAAGUGGCGGGUGAAAUCCCUCGGCUUAACCGAGGAACUGCCUGCCAGACUGGAAGGCUUGAGACCGGGAGAGGUGAGUGGAAUUCCCAGUGUAGCGGUGAAAUGCGUAGAUAUUGGGAGGAACACCAGUGGCGAAGGCGGCUCACUGGACCGGAACUGACGCUGAGGCGCGAAAGCGUGGGGAGCAA